rnacentral:rRNA from 1 species
ACUCCUACGGGAGGCAGCAGUGGGGAAUAUUGCACAAUGGGCGCAAGCCUGAUGCAGCCAUGCCGCGUGUAUGAAGAAGGCCUUCGGGUUGUAAAGUACUUUCAGCAGUGAGGAAGGUGGAUAUGUUAAUAGCAUACUCAUUUGACGUUAGCUGCAGAAGAAGCACCGGCUAACUCCGUGCCAGCAGCCGCGGUAAUACGGAGGGUGCGAGCGUUAAUCGGAAUUACUGGGCGUAAAGCGCAUGCAGGUGGUUUGUUAAGUCAGAUGUGAAAGCCCGGGGCUCAACCUCGGAAUUGCAUUUGAAACUGGCAAACUAGAGUACUGUAGAGGGGGGUAGAAUUUCAGGUGUAGCGGUGAAAUGCGUAGAGAUCUGAAGGAUACCGGUGGCGAAGGCGGCCCCCUGGACAGAUACUGACACUCAGAUGCGAAAGCGUGGGGAGCAAACAGGAUUAGAUACCCUGGUAGCUCUGC